GGAUGAACGCUGGCGGCGUGCCUAAUCCAUGCAAGUCGAGCGAACAGACGAGGAGCUUGCUCCUCUGACGUUAGCGGCGGACGGGUGAGUAACACGUGGAUAACCUACCUAUAAGACUGGGAUAACUUCGGGAAACCGGAGCUAAUACCGGAUAAUAUAUUGAACCGCAUGGUUCAAUAGUGAAAGACGGUUUUGCUGUCACUUAUAGAUGGAUCCGCGCCGCAUUAGCUAGUUGGUAAGGUAACGGCUUACCAAGGCAACGAUGCGUAGCCGACCUGAGAGGGUGAUCGGCCACACUGGAACUGAGACACGGUCCAGACUCCUACGGGAGGCAGCAGUAGGGAAUCUUCCGCAAAGGGCGAAAGCCUGACGGAGCAACGCCGCGUGAGUGAUGAAGGUCUUCGGAUCGUAAAACUCUGUUAUUAGGGAAGAACAAAUGUGUAAGUAACUAUGCACGUCUUGACGGUACCUAAUCAGAAAGCCACGGCUAACUACGUG
rnacentral:rRNA from 1 species